rnacentral:tRNA from 1 species
GGGCUCGUGGUCUAAUGGAAUGACACCACGUUCGCAACGUGGAGGCUCCGGGUUCGACUCCCGGCGGGUCCA